rnacentral:rRNA from 1 species
UACGUAGGGUGCAAGCGUUGUCCGGAAUUAUUGGGCGUAAAGAGCUCGUAGGCGGUUUGUCGCGUCGAAUGUGAAAACCCGGGGCUCAACCCCGGGCCUGCAUUCGAUACGGGCAGACUAGAGUUCGGUAGGGGAGUCUGGAAUUCCUGGUGUAGCGGUGAAAUGCGCAGAUAUCAGGAGGAACACCAGUGGCGAAGGCGGCCAACUGGUUCGGUACUGACGCUGAGGUGCGAAAGCGUGGGGAGCAAACAGG